GACGAACGCUGGCGGCGUGCCUAAUACAUGCAAGUAGAACGCAUUUGCGAUCAGGUGCGUACCGCUUAGUUACCUUCCUGGUCCCGGGUGUUAACUAUUGGAAACGAUUGCUAAUAAUGCAUACUACCAGAUGGACCUGCGUUGUCUUAGCUAGUUGGUGGGGUAACGGCUCACCAAGGCAACGAUACAUAGCCGACCUGGGAGGGUGAUCGGCCACAUUGGGACUGAGACACGGCCCAGACUCCUACGGGAGGCAGCAGUAGGGAAUCUUCGGCAAUGGGGGGAAGUCUGACCGAGCAACGCCGCGUGAGUGAAGAAGGUUUUCGGAUCGUAAAGCUCUGUUGUAAGGGAAGCGGUAUCUAACCAGAAAGGGACGGCUAACUACGUGCCAGCAGCCGCGGUAAUAC
rnacentral:rRNA from 1 species